rnacentral:rRNA from 1 species
CGCCUCUUGAAACUACAUAAGAGGUCCAGCCUGCCCAGUGACUAAGUUCAACGGCCGCGGUAUCCUAACCGUGCGAAGGUAGCGUAAUCACUUGUUCUUUAAAUGAGGACUAGUAUGAAUGGCACCACGAGGGUUAUGCUGUCUCCUUUUUCUAAUCAAUGAAACUGAUCUCCCCGUGAAGAAGCGGGGAUAUAUCUAUAAGACGAGAAGACCCUAUGGAGCUUUAAAUCAUGUAACACUGGCUUUCACAUUAAAAUAUUCCAGAAUUUUUCAUAAUUACUCUAGCCACUAUGAUUACUAGUUUUAGGUUGGGGUGACCACGGAGCAAAAAUUAACCUCCAUGUUGAACGGAGCUACUCCUGAGCCAAAAGCCACGACUUUAAGCACUAAUAAAUUAACAUUAAUUGACCCAAUAUUUUUGAUCAACGAACCAAGUUACCCUAGGGAUAACAGCGCA